GGUGCGGCGGCGGGUGGCGGCGGUCGGCUUCUGGUUCAUCUUCUCCGGCGAGGGCAGGCGGCUAGGGUUUGUGGUCUGGUGUGGGGAUCUUAUUUAUACCAUUUUGCCUUUUGAUCUCAGCCGUCCAUUUUGAUUUAAUCUAGGCCGUCCGUUUUUGAUUGAAUCUGGGCCGUCCGUGCGAUUGCAUCUGGGCCGUCCGAUCGCACGUUCGAUCUGGGUCGUCCGAUCGCGCAUACGCGGAUCGCCAACGUGGCCCGUCCGGGAUCGACGUGGUCUUGCCACGUGGCAGGUCCCGGUUGGCCGGGACUGCUGACUGGGUCUGCUGACGUGGCCCCCCCCUUUUUUUUUCUCUUCUUCUUCAAUUUCCCGGGCGCUACAAUGUGAAUUGGCAAACGGAUAAUGUGGACAGUCUGACUAGGUAUCCUGAGAUAUGGUGGACGGACCGGAUCCGUAGGGAACCCUACCGAGAACAUGGUCUCUCAUACCGGACGGGGUAUGGAGACCUUAUGUGUUUUGGUGCCCAUACCGGACGGGGUAUGGGGACGGCCCGUUUCACCCUCAUACCGGACAGGGUAUUGAGGUUCAUGGUUUUGGCGCCCAUACCGGACGGGGUAUGGGGACGGCCCUAGAAUCAGGUUAUAAAUGUUAAGG
rnacentral:lncRNA from 1 species